rnacentral:rRNA from 1 species
UACGUAGGGGGCAAGCGUUGUCCGGAAUCAUUGGGCGUAAAGAGCGUGUAGGCGGCCAGAAAAGUCCGCUGUGAAAACUCGAGGCUCAACUUCGAGCUGUCGGUGGAAACUUUCUGGCUAGAGUCCGGAAGAGGAGAAUGGAAUUCCUGGUGUAGCGGUGAAAUGCGCAGAUAUCAGGAGGAACACCGGCGGCGAAGGCGGCCCUCUGGACGGUGACUGACGCUAAGACGCGAAAGCGUGGGGAGCGAACAGG